rnacentral:rRNA from 1 species
AACGAACGCUGGCGGCAUGCCUAACACAUGAAAGUCGAACGAGAUCUUCGGGUCUAGUGGCGCACGGGUGCGUAACGCGUGGGAAUCUGCCCUUUGGUUCGGAAUAACAGUUGGAAACGACUGCUAAUGCCGGAUGAUGACGAAAGUCCAAAGAUUUAUCGCCAGAGGAUGAGCCCGCGUAGGAUUAGCUAGUUGGUGUGGUCAAGGCGCCCCAAGGCGACGAUCCUUAGCCGGUCUGAGAGGAUGAUCAGCCACACUGGGACUGAGACACAGCGCAGACUCCUACUGGAGGCAGCAGUGGGGAAUAUUGGACAAUGGGCGAUGGCAUUCUCAAGCAAUGCCGCGUGAGUGAUGAAGGCCUUAGGGUUGUAAAGCUCUUUUACCCGGGAUGAUAAUGACGGUACCGGGAGAAUAAGCUCCGGCUAACUCCUUGCCAGCGGCCGCUGUAA